GUUGUCCAUGGAUAUACCGUAUUGUAUAAUGUUCCGGAAAAGUUUCCGUCUUUCUUCAGUUACAUUCAGCAGAAAAAACACACAUCUGUAAUUGCCGUAUCAGGCCUGCAUAGUUAGUUACCUCUUCCCCUUGACUUAACAAAAUGACAUCAUUUUGGAAUCUAUGAGAAUAUCUGGCAGACUGUCCCAUUUAUUUUCCUUUGGUGGGGUGGGAUGGGGGGUGGACCCCCAACUCUCUCUCAAUUUCCUUCUCUCUCCAUCUCUCUCUCUUUACAUCCUCCACCACUCUGUCUUUUUUGGGAGGGGUGGGAUAGGGGGUGGACUCACCCGACUCUCUCUCCCUCUUCAUCUCUCUCUCUCUCCUCUUCAUCUCUUUCUUUUUCUCCACCUCUUUCUCAAUUAACCCCCCCCUCUCUCUCUUUUAGGCAACCAUGUUUUUAUGGCAGGAGUCAACCAAAUAAAAGCAGCCCCACCAGUCUGUGGGGGAGAAAAGCCGCUGGUUCAAUGAAGUGAUCUAUUCAACUCAGUGUUUCUCUCUCUUGCUCUCUUCAUUAAUUACAUACUGUUGUGCCUUUUCAUCCUUUCCGUCUUUUGUUUUCUGUCUCUCUUACUUUUUAUUCCCCUCCUUCUUUCUCUGGCUGGCUGAGCUCUGACAAGGGGAUAGAAUCAAGAGUUUGGGAGAGGAGAGGGACAUUUGGGAGCGAGAUGGCGAGUGGGACGGUGGGGUUGUUCCUGUAUGGAUUCCUGCUCCUGUCUCUGUGGAAACCUUCACUGCAAGGAGGUGUGUACAUACCUGCUGGUGUAGGUGAAGGAGCUGGGACUGGAUUAGGAGCUGGAGCAGGAGUCAGAGCUGGAUUUGGUCCAGGUGGAGCUGGCACCGGUUUUGGGCCUGGUGGUGUAGGCACUGGAUAUGGGCCAGGUGGCGGAGCCGGAGUUGGACCAGGAGUUGGACCAGGAGGUGUAGGUGGAGCUGGCGCUGGUCCAGGUGGUGCAGGCUUUGGCCCUGGAGCCGGUGGAGGUUACACCAAGCCAGGGAAGACGGGAGCUGGCUAUGGUGGUCAGGUUGUAGGCCAAGGCCAAGGAGGACUGGGGACUGGAGGUCUGGGGGAAGGAAGAGUUAGACCAGAAGGAGCUGGGGCCGGACCAGGAGGUUAUGGACAUGGCGGUGGUUUAGGAGCUGGAGGCCUUGGAGCAGGAGCUGGCAAUGGAGGUUGGGGUCCUGGAGGACAGGGGGCUGGACUAGGAGCUGGAGGUCUGGGAGGAGGAGGUCUUAGACCAGGAGCCAGACCAGGAGGUUAUGGACCAGGUGGUUAUGGGCCUGGAGCUGGUCUUAGUCUGGGCGGAGCUGUAGCUGGAGGUCUUGGUGGUGGUUACGGACUUGGCGGGGGUCUAGGUGCCGGAGGCCUUGGAGCAGGAGCUGGAGGAAAGCCAGAGAAGGCAGGAGCUGGCUACGGUGGUAGAGAUCCAGGAGGACAGGGGGCUGGACUGGGUGUUGGAGGUUUUGGACCAGGUGGCUAUGGACCAGGUGGAGCUGGUGCCGGACCAGGUGGCUAUGGGCUUGGUGUUGGUCUUGGUCCUGGGGGAGCUGGUCCUGGAGUUUUUGGUGGUGGUUAUGGACCCGAUGGAACAGGAGCUGGCUAUGUAGGUCGCAGUCCUGGGGGACAGGGGGCUGGAUUAGGAGCUGGAGGCUAUGGACCAGGUGGAGCUGGACCAGGAGGAUAUGGGCCUGGUUCUGGUGUUGGCCAGGGUGGAGCUGGUCCAGGUGGUUUUGGUGGUGGUCUUGGAGCUGGCGGACAAGGAGACACCCUUGGAGCUGGGUAUGGAGGCCUCGGAGCUGGGGGACUGGGAUCCAGAGGUACAGGUCAGGGGGCUGGAGGACUUGGAGCAGGCCAAGGUCUUGGAGCCGGCCAAGGAGAUGGAUACAGACCUGGAGGAGGCUACGGUGGUGCUGCUGGUGGUCUGUACCCUGGAGCUGGAGGGGCGGGGGCAGGCCAGAAACCUCCCAAAACAGGAGCAGGAAGCACACUAGGAGGAGAUGGAUAUGGGCCUGGUGGUGCUGGUGGAUAUGGGCCUGGUGGUGCUGGUGGAUAUGGGCCUGGUGGCGCAGGUGGACAUGGGCCUGGUGGCACAGGUGGACAUGGGCCUGGUGGCGUAGGUGGACAUGGGCCUGGUGGCGUAGGUGGACAUGGGCCUGGUGGCGCAGGAACGGGACCUAGUGGCACAGGUGCAUAUGGUGCUGGUGGCGCAGGAACUGGCCCUAGUGGCGCAGGUGGAGUUGGCCUUGGUGGUUUUGGGCCUGGUGGCGCAGCAGUACCAGCUGGAGCACCAGUACUUCCACAGACUGGAGUCCCUGGGGGUGGAGCUAGAGAGAAGAGCGGUUGGAAGGCCAACAAACAAGUGCCAGGUGUUGGAGUACCUGGACUUUAUCAAGGUGGAAUAGUGCCUAGUCAAGGUUUCGGAGGGCGUGGGGUUCUACCAGGUGUUGCCACUGGAUCCGGACUUGCUCCCCAGACAGGGGCAGGUGUGCUGGGCCAGGGUGGAGUUGGAGCUGGCACUGGAGCUGGAGGUGGCCGAGGCAGUUUAAAUGGAGUGUUCCGUGGAUAUCCCCUCAUAUCACCUAAAUCUGGAGGGGCUGGAGGCAAAUCGGCUAAUUCCCAGGCCAAGCUUGCUGCUAAAUAUGCUGGAGGUGUACUUCGUCAAGGGGGCAUGUCGGGAGCAGGAGGAGUACCUAGCGGUGUACCUGGAGCAGGUGGGGUCCCUGGUUAUGGAGCUGGAGGUGUACUUCAUCAAGGGGGCAUGGCCGGAGCAGGAGGCGUACCUAGCGGCGUACCUGGAGCAGAUGGGGUCCCUGGUUAUGGAGUUGGAGCUGGUGGUGUACCUGGUUACGGAGGUGGAGCAGGAGGCAUACCUGGAUUCGGAGGCGUAGCCAGAGCAGGAGGCGUACCUGGUUACGGGGGCGGAGCCGGACCAGGAGGCGUACCUGGGGCAGGGGGCGUCCCUGGCUCAGGUGGGUAUGGAUACCCAGGGGGUUACCCAGGUGGAGGGCGGUACCCUGGGGCUGGCCUAGGUGUAGGAGGUGCCUACCCCGGAGAAGCUGGAUCUAAGGCAGCCAAAUAUGGUCAGGGUGGAGCAGGCACUGGAGCUGGUGGUGGGCUCAGCCAGGGAGUGCCUGCAUCUGGGAUUGGAACCGGAAGACUGCCUGGUGGGGCUGGAGGGGAACCAGGAGGCGGUUACAGGCCUGGCGGUAGCUUCGGUCCUGGAGGUGGAGUUGGACCAGGUGGGGCCAGUUAUGGACCAGGUGGGGCCGGCUAUGGACCAGGUGGAGCUGGACCUGGUGGCUAUGGACCAGGUAGUGCUGGAAGUUUUGGAACAGGUGGAGGGGUUGGACCAGGUGGUGCCGGGGAAGGACAUGGUGGAGCUGGCUAUGGACCAGGUGGAGGAGUUGGUGGAGUGCCUGGUGGUGGACACAGACCUGGAGGUGGUUUACCUGGUAGUGGUGCUGGUUACGGACCUGGUGCUGGUGUUGGAGGAUAUGAUGCAAAUGCCAAAGCUCGUAAAUAUGGUAUGCUAAGUGGUGUCCUUGGGACCCCAGGAGGAGGACAGGCAGCCAGCCUGGGAGGAGUACCAGGAGGGGGAGCAGGGACUGGAGUAGGCCAGGGUGGAGUGCCUGGAUCUGGGCUUGGUGGUGGUGGAGGUGUCCCCGGUGGUUAUGGUCCUGGAGCUGGAUUUGGACCUGGUGGUGGAACUGUUGGUGGUUAUGGACCAGGAGGGGGUGCUGGGACUGGACUUGGCCAGGGAGGAGUUGGGUCCGUACCAGAUGGCUAUGGGACUGGGCCUGGUGGUUAUGGACCAGGUGGAGCCGGACAGGGUGCAGUGAAGCCAAACAAAUCAGGUUAUGGCUCCUCCUCCUCGGGUGGAGCUCUCUUUGGACCAGGUGCUGGAGCAGGUGGGGUAUCUGGUGCUGGAGCUACCGGGCGAAGAGGAGGAGUACCAGGAGGCUACGGAGUAGGAGAAGCGGGACAGUCAGGGCAGAAAUCAAAGGCACAGAAGGCAGCCAAAUACACAGCCAUGCAAGGCUUCCUGGGAGCACGCAGCUACAGAGGGGUCGCCGACUGCCAGGGUAUAUACUGCGGACGGAGGAGGAAGUGAGAGAGCAGCAAAAAGAAGUGACCUCAUCAACAACAUUGUGGUGCUACUGCAUGAUUCAAGAAUGUACUGAUUUUCAACUACUAAUAUGUCCCUUUUUUCUUUUAAAGUGUGAAUCUCGGGCAAUGGCAAAACCAGAGCCUGUUUGAUCUUUUAUUCUGAAACUGUGAUCAUGUGUUUAUUGUUCCUCACCUGUACCCCUUUAGCCCCUCCUGUGUGUACCCCAUUUACCCAUUUAGCUCCACCACGAAUCAUGUUUGUUUAAAACACUGAUACUAAGGCGUCCCACAACGGUGUGCCUCUAGACCUGUCUGUAUGCUGACUAAACUGUCUGUUUUCUGAUUAAUGUGACUAACAUCCCUCUAUAAAGCUAUGCUAUUGACACACAGGCCCAGACUUACUCAACAUUUGCACCUGCACUUUUCAAUAUACCUAGUUUUUGUUCAAGUUGUUUAGUUGCAAACAUUUACAAUAUCUGGCCCAAGGCGUCUUGAGAUAUAUAUACACACACUGCUGCCAUAAAUUAAAAUCAUAGGAGAUAUCUUUAGAGUGGUAAUCUUACAACCACCAUUUUUGAUUUAGAACUGUGUCCACUCUGAACCCCCAAAAGCAGUGUGUGUCCACAGCAACACUCAUGUUCUAACUCUGAUUCGAGUUUCAGUAGUUCUCAAAAAAAGGGAGCUUACUGCCCUUAGAGCCAUUAGUAAAGGUUUUAAGAUCUUAUAUGCAGUCGUGUAUAAUGCCUUUACAGAAUAUAUAUAUAGUAAGGUUUAGCUAAGCCACUUGCCUGAAAUAUUAUCAACAUCUUUCUGAAUGGCUGUAUAACACUGAAUUGCUGUGAGUGUUUUGAAUACUUAAUCACACUGAUAUGACUGUGUUAGUACAGCCAUAGUUGAGAUGACUGAAAAUGCAAACGUAUAUUUUCUUUGUUUAAAAUCCUCAUCUUGGCUUUACUGAGAGCAACAGUACCUACAUGACAUUUGCAGUUGAUUAAAACUAAUAUUAUAAUCAUGCUCAUCUCCACAGAUUGGCCUGUUUUCAGACCUAUCACCGUAAAACAUAAUUCUGUUAACUCAAAUUAUUUGAAAAACUGAUUGCCUUGACUCAUUAAAUUAAAGCAACACAUGUUUUGUAAGUUACCAGUACUCAGUUCAUUUAGUUUUAGUGACUUAGAAGAUUAUGUUACACAGUGAACUGUAGAGAGCAUAUAACUGCAGACUGUUGACAAAAGCCCAACGUUUUUACGCGCUUUAAUUCACCCAGGAAAUAGAAUGCAUGGGAGAGAAUGAGAGACAACAGAUGGGCCUCAACGGUGUCAUUACACAUCAGUUUAGAAAGCAAGUCUAUUUCUCUCCACAUCUACAAGAAGCAAUGCUGGUAAAAUUAGCAAAUAAAUUGCCAGAAAAUAGACUGUUUGCAUCGUUAUGUCUGGAAAUGUGAAAUGUAUAGUUAAAAAGUGUCUAUUCAGUGUUGAUCAGUUUAACUGCCAAUACAUAUUUGAAAACAAAUGCAUAGAAUUUUGAUCACAGGCAUAUAGCCUAGGCCAGGGGUCUCCAAAGUUUUUUCUAGCCUGAGUUACUUUAAGAAAAAUUUAACAUGUCGCUUCUCUUCUCCCAUUCAACUCUUCCUCUGGUCCUUAGUGUAUAAGAGAAAGUAGUGCACUGUUUUCUGUCAAUAUACCUGGUAAAAUAAGGAUUAAUAAACAACUCUAAGGGGAGACCUAUAAAGUCAGAUUUGUUUUCUCCAAAAUUAUGUUUUCAAUUUCCCAAAAUAAGUCUUCUCUGUUUACUAUUUUCUGGUUUAAGAUGUUGAUUUUACUCUCAAAAUUACAAUUGUUCAUAGAGAAGUUUGUUCUGAGGACAUGUCAAUGGUUAAAUCACAUCAGGAUACUUUUUUUGGGGGGNNNNNNNNNNGGUGGAGCUGGCUAUCAACCAGGUUAUUAUGGCUCCCAGGGUGGAGCUGGCUAUCAACCAGGUUAUUAUGGCUCCCAGGGUGGAGCUGGUUAUC
rnacentral:lncRNA from 13 species